rnacentral:rRNA from 1 species
AGUGAACGCUGGCGGCGUGCUUAACACAUGCAAGUCGAACGGUAACAGGAAGAAGCUUGCUUCUUUGCUGACGAGUGGCGGACGGGUGAGUAAUGUAUAGGUAUGUGCCCCAUAGUCUAGGAUAGCCACUGGAAACGGUGAUUAAUACUGGAUAUUCCUUACGAGGGAAAGCUUUAGUGCUAUGGGAUCGGCCUAUAUGAUAUCAGGUAGUUGGUGGGGUAAGAGCCUACCAAGCCAAUGACAUCUAGCUGGUCUGAGAGGAUGAUCAGCCACACUGGAACUGAGACACGGUCCAG